CUCUCCCUGAACUAUUGAUGAAGUAUUUGAUGGAUCCAGGGAAAGUGACCCACCUCCUGAAUAUUGUUCUGUUUCUUAAGUUAAAAUUAUACAUUAAAGCAAGACAAAAGAAUAGUCUUCAGCUAUUGUUGGAAAAUAUUAAAACUGUUAUGGAGAGACACUCCAGUGAUGAG
rnacentral:sRNA from 1 species